rnacentral:rRNA from 1 species
UACGAAGGGUGCAAGCGUUACUCGGAAUUACUGGGCGUAAAGGGCGCGUAGGCGGUGCACUAAGUCAGGCGUGAAAGCCCUGGGCUCAACCCGGGAAUUGCGCUUGAUACUGGUGCGCUUGAAUCCAGGAGAGGUUGGUGGAAUUCCCAGUGUAGAGGUGAAAUUCGUAGAGAUUGGGAAGAACACCGGUGGCGAAGGCGGCUUCUUGGGCCCUACCUGACGCUGAGGCGCGAAAGCCAGGGGAGCGAACGGG